CCUACGGGACGCAGCAGUGGGGAAUAUUGCACAAUGGGGGAAACCCUGAUGCAGCGACGCCGCGUGAGUGAAGAAGUAUUUCGGUAUGUAAAGCUCUAUCAGCAGGGAAGAAAAUGACGGUACCUGACUAAGAAGCCCCGGCUAACUACGUGCCAGCAGCCGCGGUAAUACGUAGGGGGCAAGCGUUAUCCGGAUUUACUGGGUGUAAAGGGAGCGUAGACGGUGCGCCAAGUCUGGAGUGAAAUGCCGCAGCUUAACUGCGGAACUGCUUUGGAAACUGGCGAACUGAGGUGCGGGAGGGGGAA
rnacentral:rRNA from 1 species